UUCCGGUUGAUCCCGCCGGACCCGACUGCUAUUUGGGUGAGGAUAAGCCAUGCGAGUCGAAUGGGAUACCUAAAUUUCCCAUGGCGAACUGCUCAAUAACACAUGAUCAACUUGCCCUAUAGAGAAAAAUAACCUCGGGAAACUGAGGAUAAUGUUUCAUAGUUGAAAAGGCUUGGAAAAGUUUUUCGACCAAAGGGAUAAAAAAAAUGGUUUUUAUCCGCUAUAGGAUAGGAUCGUGCUCGAUUAUGGUCGUCGGUGAGGUAACGGCUCACCAAGCCGAUAAUCGAUAGGGGCCGUGAGAGCGGGAGCCCCGAGAUGGGUACUGAGACAGCGACCCAGGCCUUACGAGGCGCAGCAGGCGCGGAACCUCCGCAAUACACGAAAGUGUGACGGGGUUACCCAAAGUGUUCAUUUAUGGACUGUGGUAGGUGAGUAAUGUCCCCUACUAGAAAGGAGAGGGCAAGGCUGGUGCCAGCCGCCGCGGUAAAACCAGCUCUUCAAGUGGUCGGGAUAAUUAUUGGGCUUAAAGUGUCCGUAGCCGGUUUAGUAAGUUCCUGGUAAAAUCAGGUAGCCUAACUAUCUGCAUGCUAGGAAUACUGCUAUACUAGAGGACGGGAGAGGUCUGAGGUACUACAGGGGUAGGGGUGAAAUCUUAUAAUCCUUGUAGGACCACCAGUGGCGAAGGCGUCAGACUGGAACGAGCCUGACGGUGAGGGACGAAAGCCAGGGGAGCGAACCGGAUUAGAUACCCGGGUAGUCCUGGCCGUAAACGAUGCAUACUAGGUGAUGGCAUGGCCAUGAGCCGUGUCAGUGCCGUAGGGAAACCGUUAAGUGUGCCGCCUGGGAAGUACGGUCGCAAGGCUAAAACUUAAAGGAAUUGGCGGGGGAGCACCGCAAGGGGUGAAGCCUGCGGUUCAAUUGGAUUCAACGCCGGG
rnacentral:rRNA from 1 species